CACGUAGGGCGCAAGCGUUGUCCGGAAUUAUUGGGCGUAAAGAGCUCGUAGGCGGUCUGUUGCGUCCGCUGUGAAAACUCGGGGCUUAACCCCGAGCCUGCAGUGGAUACGGGCAGACUAGAGGUAGGUAGGGGAGAAUGGAAUUCCCGGUGUAGCGGUGAAAUGCGCAGAUAUCAGGAGGAACACCGAUGGCGAAGGCAGGUCUCUGGGCCACUACUGACGCUGAGGCACGAAGGUCAGGGGAGCAAACGGG
rnacentral:rRNA from 1 species